rnacentral:lncRNA from 1 species
CAGCCCUGUCAUUUGGAGUUUUAUAAUAAUAUUUUUGCAAAGAAAAACUUAGCUUCCCCUUCUCCAUCAUGUAGCAUACUCAAAUCACUCAUUUUAAGUGGUAUGUGUGGAUCUUACCAAGGCAUGUAUGAUCUAUGCCUCAUAUGUAUCAUACUCUAUAUAGGCUUAUAUGGAGUUGAAGGUAAUUCAAGGAAAUAGCAUACUUAUCUUGCAUAUGUUGCUAAGUCAAAACAUAGAUCUAUGGAGGGGAGUAGCAUACUCUUAGAUCAAGAAGUGCAUGUGUGUGGAAUUUAUAGUGGCUAAUCCUAAUUCUACUUUGCUCUUUCAGAAUGUAUUUCUUCCUCUAAAACACUGAUGAUCUUUGCAAAGGACGGUAUGGGCUAUCUUUUCUUUUAUUCUCUUUUUUUUUCUUUCUUGGACACUUGUCAAUUUUUUCAAUGAUCUUGAGAGCAUGAUAAUCUUCUCAACAUAGGUCAAUAAGGUUUGACAAAACUCAAUACAAAACAAGUAGCUUAUGAGCUAGUUUAUGUAUAUCAUGCAUGACUCUAGUAGGAUAUUAAUUACUACUACAUAGGAGAAGUGUAGCUAAUAAUUUUAAGAUUUUUGAAAAGAAAUUCUCCAACUAACUAGACAUCAGAAAUCAAGUUCUCAUAUUCAUACUAUCUCUCUUUCCACAACAACUUAAGUAAUAUGGGAUUCAUAUAGUAAAAGUUCCCAACAAUAACAGGAAUUCCUAGCAAUUAUCAUGGUGUGAGUCUAUCUUGUGGUCAUGAAUAAAAUAUAUUUUCAAUACUUAUGUAUAGAGUGGUUUAACU